GCAUUAUUUAUACAAGUCAUGUCUUUUUGGACAUACUGUAUAUGAUCAAGAUUGUAGCAUUCAUUGAGUAAUGAUUUAGUAACACUUGAAAAGUUGUCUACUCUAUUGACAGUAUUUUAAUGUAAAACUUGAAAUAAUUUAAUGAGUCAUUUUUUUCUUAAUGGUUUAAGGGUGAAAAUCAGUGGUGGAUCCAUAGGGGUUCCGGGGGUUGGAACCCCCCCCCCCCUUUUGUUAGCUCACCUGGCCCAAAGGGCCAAGUGAGCUUUUCUCAUCACUUGGCGUCCGGCGUCGUCGUCCGUCGUUAACUUUUACAGAAAUCUUCUCCUCUGAAACUACUGAGCCAAAUUAAACCAAACUUGGCCACAAUCAUCAUUGGGGUAUCUAGUUUAAAAUUGUGUCCGGUGACCCGGUCAACCAACCAAGAUGGCCGCCAUGGCUAAAAAUAGAACAUAGGGGUAAAAUGCAGUUUUUGGCUUAUAACUCAGAAACCAAAGCAUUUAAAGCAAAUCUGACAUGGGGGUUAAAUUGUUUGUCAGGUCAAAAUCUAUCUGCCCUGAAAAUUUCCGAUGAAUCGGUCAACCCGUUGUAGGGUUGCUGCCCCUGAAUUGGUAAUUUGAAGGAAAUUUUGCUGUUUUUGAUUAUUAUCUUGAAUAAUAUUAUAGAUAGAGAUAAACAGUGAACAGCCAUUAUAUUCAGCAAAGUAAGAUUUACAAAUAAGUCUAACUACCGAAAUGGUCAGUUGACCCCUUUAGGAGUUAUUGCCCUUUAUAGUCAAUUUUUAACCCUUUUUUGUAAAUCUGAGUAAUCCUUUACAAAAAUCUUCUCCUCUGAAACUACUGGGCCAAAUUAAACCAAACUUGGCCACAAUCAUCAUUGGGGUAUCUAGUUUAAAAAUUGUGUCCAGUGACCCGGUCAACCAACCAAGAUGGCCGCCAUGGCUAAAAAUAGAUAAUAGGGGUAAAAUGCAGUUUUUGGCUUAUAACUCAAAAACCAAAGCAUUAAGAGCAAAUCUGACAUGGAGUUAAAUUGUUUAUCAGGUCAAGAUCUAUCUGCCUUGAAAAUUUCAGAUGAAUCGAACAAUCCGUUGUAGGUUUGCUGCCCCUGAAUUGGUAAUUUUAAGGAAAUUUUGCUGUUUUUGGUUAUUAUCUUGAAUAAUAUUAUAGAUAGAGAUAAACAGUGAACAGUCAUUAUAUUCAGCAAAGUAAGAUUUACAAAUAAGUCAACACGACUGAAAUUGUCAGUUGACCCCUUUGGAGUAAUUGCCCUUUAUAGUCAAUUUUUAACCAUUUUUCGUAAAUCUUAGUAAUCUUUUACAAAAAUUUUCUCCUCUGAAACUACUGGGCCAAAUUAAACCAAACUUGGCCACAAUCAUCAUUGGGGUAUCUAGUUUAAAAAUUGUGUCCAAUGACCCGGUCAACUAACCAAGAUGGCCGCCAUGGCUAAAAAUAGAUAAUAGGGGUAAAAUGCAGUUUUUGGCUUAUAACUCAAAAACCAAAGCAUAAAGAGCAAAUCUGACAGGAGUUAAAUUGUUUAUCAGGUCAAGAUCUAUCCGCCUUGAAAAUUUCAGAUGAAUCGAACAACCCGUUGUAGGGUUGCCGCCCCUGAAUUGGUAAUUUGAAGGAAAUUUUGCUGUUUUUGGUUAUUAUCUUGAAUAAUAUUAUAGAUAGAGAUAAACAGUGAACAGCCAUUAUAUUCAGCAAAGUAAGAUUUACAAAUAAGUCAACACGACUGAAAUUGUCAGUUGACCCCUUUGGAGUAAUUGCCCUUUAUAGUCAAUUUUUAACCAUUUUUCGUAAAUCUUAGUAAUCUUUUACAAAAAUCUUCUCCUCUGAAACUACUGGGCCAAAUUAAACCAAACUUGGCCACAAUCAUCAUUGGGGUGUCUAGUUUAAAAAUUGUGUCCGGUGACCCGGUCAACCAACCAAGAUGGCCGCCAUGGCUAAAAAUAGAUAAUAGGGGUAAAAUGCAGUUUUUGGCUUAUAACUAAAAAAUUCCAGCAUUUAGAGAAAAUCUGAAAUGGGGUUCAAUUGUUUAUCAGGUCAAGAUCUAUCUGCCCUGAAAAUUUCAGAUGAAUCGAACAACCAGUUGUUGGGUUACUGCCUCUGAAUUGGUAAUUUUAAGGAAAUUUUGCUGUUUUUGGUUAUAAUCUUGAAUAAUAUUAUAGAUAGAGAUAAACAGUGAACAGCAAUAAUGUUCAGCAAAGUAAGAUUUACAAAUAAGUCAACACGACCGAUAUGGUCAGUUGACCCCUUUAGGAGUGAUUGCCCUUUAUAGUAAAUUUUUUACAUUUUUCAUAAAUUUUUGUAGAUUUUUAGAAAAUAUUUUCCACUGUAAUUACUGGGCCAAGUUCAUUAUAGAUAGAGAUAAUUGUAGCAACAAGAAUGUUCGGUAAAGUAAGAUCUAUAAACACAUCACCAUCAUCAAAACACAAUUUUGUUAUGAAUUUAUCUGUGUCCAUUUUUUAAUAUGCACAUAGACCAAGGUGAGCGACACAGGCUCUUGAGAGCCUCUAGUUUGGCUGAUCAAUGCAUUUGAAUGGGGAUAUAUAGUUGGAACCCCCUUUUUUUUGGCUGAUCAAUGCAUUUGAAUGGGGACAUAUGUGUUGGAACCCCCCCCCUUUAUCCUGGGUUGGACCCCCCCCCCUUUUUAAAAUGGCUGGAUCCGCCCCUGAAAAUUUUACCUUUAAAACAAAUUGAAAUAGAUAUUAUAAUCAUGAGUUUAUAACAUUUUCGAAAAAACACUGUCAAUAAAGAAAAAAACUCAUUACAGUAACAAUGCAAUGUACAAUGCUAUCUCUUUCCUUAUUUAAUUAAAUACGGCUUCUAGUUCUAUUUUUUAGAUCUCUUUAUUGUAUAUUUGUAUAUGUAAUCUGUUAUCUGAUAGUUGCAUUAUGUGUAAGGUUUUCUAUAUUCUUCCAAUACAUUCAGCAGAAGAGCAUGAGGCUAUUUUAUUAUUAUGAGUUGGUAUUCGACACUUAUGUAUGGUGCAGUCGGAAAGUAAAGCCAAAGAUUAUUCUUUCUUUUAAAACAAUAUGCUAGUAAUCAUGGUUUCCAAUGAUGUGUUUAGAAAGGGUAUCACUAUACAAAUCCCUGUGGUUCUGUGAAAGUAAAAAAACAACAACACCAACUCCACCUCCACCUCCAAGGAAAAAUUAUAACGAAAAGUUCCUUAUCGAAUGGCAAAUCAAAGCUCAAGCACAUCAAGCGAAUGGACAACGUUUCUAUUGUGGACAUUCUGGACAGAAAUGGUUUGAAUGGUUAUGUUUUUAGAAAUAUCUAUUCGAACUUUCAUAAAGACAGGUGAGUUCAAUAUCAUAUUUGUUAAAAUGAAGC
rnacentral:lncRNA from 1 species